GACAGAGGGUGCAAACGUUGUUCGGAAUUACUGGGCGUAAAGCGUGCGCAGGCGGUUUUGUAAGCCAGGUGUGAAAUCCCCGGGCUCAACCUGGGAAUGGCAUUUGGGACUGCAAGGCUGGAGUGCGGCAGAGGAGACUGGAAUUCCUGGUGUAGCAGUGAAAUGCGUAGAUAUCAGGAGGAACACCGAUGGCGAAGGCAGGUCUCUGGGCUGACACUGACGCUCAUGCACGAAAGCGUGGGGAGCAAACAGG
rnacentral:rRNA from 1 species